rnacentral:rRNA from 1 species
AACGCGAAGAACCUUACCUGGCCUUGACAUGCAUCUCUAAGCGGGUGAAAGCCCGUGAGUCCCGAAAGGGACAAUUUGCACAGGUGCUGCAUGGCUGUCGUCAGCUCGUGUCGUGAGAUGUUCGGUUAAGUCCGGCAACGAGCGCAACCCUCGUCCUUAGUUGCCAGCGGGUAAUGCCGGGGACUCUAGGGAGACAAACCUCUUUAUAGAGGUGGGAAGGUGGGGACGACGUCAAGUCAGUAUGGCCCUUACACCCAGGGCUGCACACGUGCUACAAUGCCUGGUACAGAGGGACGCAAAGGAGCAAUCCUUCGCAAAUCUCAAAAAGCCGUCUCAGUUCGGAUUGUGCUCUGCAACUCGAGCACAUGAAGUUGGAAUCGCUAGUAAUCGCAGAUCAGCACGCUGCGGUGAAUACGUUCCCGGGCCUUGUACACACCGACGCGUA